GCGGAGUGAGUGAGAGUAGGGAAGGCGGUGCCGUACGUACGCUCGUAAUAAUGGUUGUGUGGAGAAAGUGAAUGAGCUGGUGAUGGUGGUGGGCUUUCUCUCGCUCGUUUCUUCUUUUCUUACGAGACAUGUAAUAGUUUUUGAGUAGUGGUUACACGGUCUCGGUGGUGGUGGUGGUUGAACUCUUUAUUUUGAAUAAAUACACACACUGCUGCCCGUUCAAUACACUUUCCACACACCAGACAAGGACUUCCUCACAAAAGAGUCGUGGUGAAAUUGGCAUUAAACAAAACUGCUACUUGCAACAACCUCUGCUAUGCUGCGUGUGAGGUGCAUUAGGCAAACUCGCUCAAUCAAUAGUGCACAGUUUGCAGUUGACAGUGCACAACAACAAAAUAUACAAAACAAAUCUUAAUAACCCAUUUUUGUUUUGUUACGCAAUCGAGUAAAGUGCACAGAGCAAAUGCAGGACUAUCUGUCGUAAGUAGUUGUACUACAUAAGUGAAUUAUCGUGCUACCAGCUGAGUCUACUUUCUCUGUGUGUGUAUUUUACCAAAUUCCAAUUUGCACCAUGAUCAUUCAUUCUUAAAGUAUUAUUUGUUUGCAACUAACCACCCUAAGUCAUUUUGUUAAAAUUAUGGAGUAAGUAAAAUAAUGAACAUUCAUAAAUAGUAUAAAAACAUUAUUUCCUGCUACUCCACUCCAGUCACCAGUGUGUGCAAUUGGAAAAUUAGUAUUGAUUAAAAAUCAAUAAUUGGUGUGAAAUGUGAGCAUGUGGUAAUAAUAAUGUAGCUAUUAGUAAAUUCAAAAGAGACAGCAAGUUGGUCACCAAAGUCGCCUUCUUCUCAUAAAGACGACGACGACAAAUAUCACCAGCUUAACACUAGCUCGUGCAAUUACAAAAUAGUUUUACUGCCACGUCUUCCAGUGGGGUCGUCGAGAUCUUGACGACGACGUUCACUUAUCCAUUAGCUGACAAACCACCACUGCAGGAGAAUUGUCAUCAUGGCUCAAGCACAACAAGCCCUGUCUGCGGAUAUCAGCCGAAGAAAUCCUCAAGAUGAGUACGAGCUAAUUCAACGUAUCGGAUCUGGAACGUACGGAGAUGUGUACAAGGCAAAACGACUCGCAAAUGGAGAAUUUGCUGCCAUUAAAGUCAUCAAAUUGGAACCCGGUGAUGACUUUUCUGUUAUCCAACAGGAAAUAUUGAUGAUGAAAGAUUGUCGACAUCCUAAUAUUGUGGCUUAUUUUGGCUCUUACCUGAGACGAGAUAGACUCUGGAUUUGCAUGGAGUAUUGUGGUGGGGGAUCUCUUCAAGAUAUUUAUCACGUGACUGGACCAUUUAGUGAGAACCAGAUUGCAUACCUGAGUAAAGAAACGCUUCGAGGACUGGCCUACCUUCACGCGCUAGGAAAAAUGCAUCGAGACGUAAAGGGGGCAAAUAUUCUCUUGACGGAUGGUGGCGAAGUGAAGUUGGCUGACUUUGGAGUGGCAGCACAGCUUACGGCUACCUUGGGGAAAAGGAGGUCAUUUAUUGGGACCCCAUAUUGGAUGAGUCCAGAAGUUGCAGCCGUAGAGAGAAAGGGAGGAUAUAAUGAACUCUGCGAUGUGUGGGCGUUAGGAAUUACAGCGAUCGAGAUGGCAGAGUUACAACCUCCAAUGUUUGACUUGCAUCCGAUGCGGGCAUUAAUUUUGAUGGCGAAAACUAGUUUCAAGCCACCCACGUUGAAGGAUAAGGAAAAAUGGUCGGUCAAUUUCCACAGUUUUAUUAAAGUUGCUUUGACUAAAAAUCCAAAGAAGAGGCCUACGGCGGAGCGUCUAUUGAUGCACCCUUUCCUCACUGGAGACUUGACCAAGCGUCAGGCGUUAGAGUUACUGCAUAAAGUCACAAACCCUAAUCACUCCUUUUAUGACACGGAGCCGGAUGAUGACGGAACGGUGCAGAAUGUCCCUCACAGAAUCACAUCAAGAAUUAGUGUUCGUGCAGAACAGCGUGGUGUAGCGGAAAUUAGAAAUAAUGUUACUCCUGAUUUGGGACAAAGAAGACGACAUAGUCAAUCAUCAGAGGAUUAUCAGAAUGAGCGUAGGCAAUCAUCGUUUGAUUGGGAGGAAGGGGUUCCGAGGGAAAACGAUCGCAAGACACUGCUUAUUGAUAUCGAUGAGGAGCUAAAGAACAGAGGUCAUGGGGAACGUCUUCUGUCGGGUGAAGGCUACUCACAACAAGCAACUCUACCGAUGGGUGACCCAAUGUCUAUUUCUAGUCACGAACUUGUGGAGAGUAGGAAUCACAAUGGCUCUGCUAGGAAAUCUGUUUUAGAUCGACGACGUCAUAACUCAUUUUCUGGCGAAACGGAAGAACUGACGGCUCGCCUUGAUGCUACGCUAACCAGAUCUAACGUGGACGCUGUCGAAUUGAGAGUGACUUCUCACGCAUCCCCGCGUCGACACCAGACAAAUAGGACAUUAAGUGAUAGUGCUGCUCUACUAACCGGAGGCGGAUCUUCCUCUGAGGGCCAAUCUCCAGAACAACGCAAUGGGAGACCAGAUUUGCUCCAGACAGCAGGACUUCCUCCAAUUCCACCACCACGAAUGAGAGUGGAGAGAAAAAACAAACCUGAAGACAACAAUAGCCCUCCAAGACAGACGAGCAACGGCCUUCCUCCAACGCCCAAAGUACACAUGGGCGCUUGUUUCAUGAAGGUCUUCAAUGGUUGUCCUCUUCGAAUUCAUUGUGUUGUGAGUUGGGUGAAUCCUGAUACUAGAGAUCAACAUAUCCUUCUGGGUGCUGAGGAAGGAAUUUACACUCUUAACUUAAAUGAGCUUCAUGAAACAGCGAUGGAUCAGAUUUAUUCUCGCAGAACAACAUGGAUGUAUGUAGUGAAGGAUAUGUUGAUGUCACUUUCUGGAAAGACGGUCAAUCUCUAUCGACAUGAUCUCGUGGGAUUGCAUGGCAGCAUUAAUAACAAGCACUCCUUGCGGUUUUCCCUUCGAAUGAGUAACAAAAUCCCUGAAAAAUUAGUUCCACGCAAAUUUGCUUUAACGACAAAAGUGGGGGAAACGAAAGGGUGUUGGAAAUGUUGUGUAAAGAGAAAUCCAUACAAUGGUUAUCGGUAUUUGUGCGGAGCUCUUCCCAACGGUGUAUUCUUAAUGCAGUGGUAUGAUCCACUCAACAAGUUUAUGCUUCUCAAGCAUUUCGAGUACCCAAUGAAGUUACCACUGAAGACCUUUGAAAUGAUCAUAACACCUGAUGCUGAGUACCCAAUGGUUUGCGUUGAUGUGAGAAAGGAUGGUGACUCGAACAAUUUAAAAUUAGAUCUACUGAAUCUCAAUUCUGCAAAGAAUUGGUUUCAUAGUGAUGAGUUAGAUGACCCCGUAGACAGAUCAGCAACUGUGAUACAUCGGAAGGGCUACCUGAACGUCGCCAGUGUGACGCAACUUGAAAAGGACACACUAAUGAUUUGCCAUGAUGACGUAGCAAAGUAUGUUAACCUUCAAGGAAAAAUCAAAUCAAGUAAAAAGUAUGCUGCCGAAAUAAAAUUUGACUUCCAGAUUGCCUCAGUUGUGUGCCUCACAGAUAGUGUGUUAGCUUUUCAUAAGCACGGUAUGCAGGGACGAAGUUUCAGAAACGGUGAAAUUACACAAGAAAUAACUGAUCACAGUAGAAUCUUCAGGCUUUUAGGUUCUGAUCGGGUGGUGUGCCUAUCGAGUAGGCCAUCGGACCCGAUUAGAGUUGUUGCUUCGAGCGAAGCUGGCUUCAAUCUCUACAUUCUUGCUGGACAUGAAAAUUCUGUUUUCUGAACUCAACAACAGCUCCUCUUUCAUAUCUGUCUUCUUCUUUAUAAUUAUCAAAAACGCUCAAUUGUAAAUCUGUAUUGUAAUGUGGGUGGAGAGGUCUGGUUGGUCUGGGUCAACUACGCUCUAUCUUCACUCUAUCUUUAGACGACAAGGUCAUAACCAUAGAAAGCAAACCAAAUCCACAAGCCCCAACGCCUCCAACAGAUGAUGGAGUGAACCUCUACACCCUUGCUGGACACGAAAAUUCUGUUUAGUUCUUAUACAAUAUUAUGACUAAUAUUAUAAUUUUCUGAACCUGAAUAAUCAGAAAAAUGUAUCGAGUCUGACGUGCUAUAACAAAGUUUGCUGAGUUACAACAGCAUGUCCUCCAUGAGUUUAAUAAGGUGUGUGAGGAGGAUGCGUUUAUUUUAGUUUAAUCAUUUAUGCGUACCUUAAAAACGAUGUAAGUAGUUCGCUUUUACUUACCCAAUAAUAUACUAGUCAGUUUAAUCUUUUUUUCAAGGGACACUGCAGAAAAAUGUCCUUUAUUUUUAACAAAAUCAGAAUGAUAUUGUACUGUCUUUGAUUUAUUACCUAUGCAUAUAUCGUGUUCGGUGUAUCCCGUCUAAUCCGUAUAGAGUUUAUUUAAUUUUGGUAGUUGUAUAGGUAUGGUAGGUAGGUAGUAACUUGAGCCCGAAAUUAUGACUAAAUCGUUUUUUUGGGACUGUGUUCAUUCCCUUGCUCUUAAGUUUGUUAAACAAAUCUCGGCGCAUUUGAUUUGGGUAACACUUUCCAAUUGAUAUGAAUAUUAUGUUAAACCACUAAUAAAAUACGUAUAGACCAGACGACUCACCUAAAUACAUAACUAUGUUGACCACAUUAACACUAUAAUGCAAGAGGUCAUCAUGACACUACUGAAAUACAAUGUGCACAUGCAUAUUGUACGAUCGUCAACACAAUGUCAAAUCAAUUUAUGCUAUCAUAAUAUAUUCUAUUAUGGAAAUAUUUGCAAACUUUUCAAUUUUGUACUCUGGUUAUGUUCGUUUUUUGUUUACAUAUGAAUGUAUGUAGAACUGACUACACAAACAUGUAACGACAAAAGUCAACCAAUUAUUAUAAUACGUGAGAUAUACAGUCAUAAUAAGUGCCUUUGGUCUAGAAAUACAUAUGUACUUUUGGUACAAUUUGUAAAAUUAGAAUUAAUUCUUGUGUCUUAAUUUCUCUACUUUUGGUAGAUCAUCAUAUUAUUACAUAUAUGGUGAAUAAGCGAAAUAAAUAAAUUGAUAUAAUACAGUA